GGCGCGGUGGCGGAGUGGUUUGACGCACUGGAUUGCAACCCCAGUCACGCCGGUUCAAUUCCGGCCCGCGCCUCCA
rnacentral:tRNA from 2 species